rnacentral:lncRNA from 7 species
GACAAGACAGCCAACAGACAGUCCUACAGAAUCAUCUCCAGAAACAGCAGCUCAGGCAGGACGUGAAGAUGGUGUCAACGAAAGAGAUUUCACAGCCACAUCCCUGCAUCUGAGCAAACCGUACGUUUUUAGGGUGCUGAUGACAAACAUUUCACCAUGAGCAGCCCCCAGGCAGGGAAGACCCAGUGCCAACAGGAACAAAAAAUACAAAUAAGGUUGCUGAACAUCCUCACUGCUGCUCCUCACUGCACUGGGAAGAUCCCACCAUGCAUCGCAGGAGGCAAGCUGAACAGGAGGCAAUGCCUUUUGUGAGGAUCCACACCUCACACAAAUCACCCCUGAAGGCUUUCCUACUAGGAAUAUCAUGCAUUAUGGAGGGGCUCUGAGAGCCUGGUUGAGCUGUAGGCAUCCCUGCUCGUUGCAGGGGAGCUGGACCAGAUGUCCUUUUAAGGUCUCUUCCAACUCAAAUGAUUCUAUGAUUCUACAACUCUGUUUUCUCCUCUGACAAAACACUGACAGAAAAUUUGUCACUGCCUAUACCUAAAGCAUGCAAGUGCAAACACUAACAGAAAUCCCAUACGGAAGGAAGGAGAAUUCAAACAGGAUUUCUCAGAAGGACGUUCUGCCAAGCGAUAUUGCUUUUGUUUGGGUAGUUUUCACAUACCAGGUAACAAUAUUUAAAUGUAAACAAAUAAAUAAACCACUGCAAUUACAUCAGAGUUACUCUCACCCUUGGAAUUUCCAACCUUGCAGCCCUACUGAGACCUCCUGGGACUUCUGCAUUGCAGCAGUGCACGUGUACACUUGUGUCUUAAAACUGUCCAUCCUUCAUUAAAAAUUCAUUUUAUUUCACAAAAUAAUAAUAAAAAUAAAUAAAUAAAUAAAUAAAUAAAUAAGGAAAUGAGUAAAUAAAUAAAUAAAUCUAACGAAGAU